GCUUUGGCCGCGUACCGUGGCGCGGGCCCGGGCGGCGGCGGGGCCGCGAUGUUCACGGCGGCUGCCGAGAGCUUCCUCAGGCAGGCCAGGGAGAUCCAGGAGGAGGAGCUGCGGAGAUUUGCCGCCCGCGUGUCCGCCCUGCUGCAGGGCCCCGAGCCCGGCCCCGAGGCCGUGGAUGGGCUGCAGAGGCUGCACCUCACCGUGGCCGCCACCAAGUACCCCCGCAAGCUCGAUGGAGAGUUUGUGGAGCUGUUGCAGACAGUGCUGUGCUCGCCCAAAAGUCCCGAGCAGAUUCGGGUGUUAUGUGCUGCCAUCCUAAGAGAGAUGUCUCCUUGCAAUGAUCUGAUCCUCUCCUGUGAUGAGAUUCAAGAUACAAAGCUCUUGAGCUUGGUGUCCUCCGUCCUUCUGGCUCAGGAAAAUAAGGAUGAAGUGGCAGCUGUGGGGCAGCGUGUUGUGAAAGUCCUUGAAAGAAAACUGCCUGAGGGUCAGAGCGCUCGGUUCCUCCUUCCUGUCCUGGCAAAUGUCAUCAGCCUUUCACCAGAAUCUCUAACAGAAGAACAGACCAAUGUUGUCAGUAAAAAGCUGGCUGACUGGCUGAGGUAUGCAAGCAUUCAGCAAGGAAUGGCUCAACCCUCUGGAGGCUUCUUCUCCAGUCCCAGAACCAAACAGCCUGCUCCUAUCACAGAGAUGGACGGUGCUGUUGCCACAGACUUCUUCACGGUCCUCUCAGUGGCUCAGCACUACACACAGGACCAGUGGCUCAACAUGCAGUCCUUCUCCAUGCUGAGAAACUGGCUGCUGUGCUAUGGGGGCAAGGAGCUGAGCACCCUUAAUCCAGAUGACAAAGCAGGAAAGGACAGGACUGUGACAUCCGUGGUCUCCACAGCUGGGCAGCUGCUUCCCCCCAGGGAGCGCCUGCGGGACAAAGCCUUCGAGUACUGCCAGCGCCUCAUCGAGCAGAGCAACCGGCGACCCCUGAAGAAAGAUGAUGGAGACCUGCAAAAAGCUUGUCUCAUUGAGGCAGUGACAAUCAUGGACAUCAUCUGCAAACAGGACUCCUCCUACGUGUGCCGAGCUGUCUCCUUCCUGAAAAUCCUGCACAGCAGGAUCUGUGGGGAUGCCACUUAUGCCAGGGCACUGCUGCCCAUUGCCCAGUUCUUCCUGAACCACAGCAAACUGGCAGCUGUGGAUUCGAAUGCCAUCUACAAACACCUCUUCACUGAUAUCCCAGCUCAGCUCUUCCACAACUCAUCACUGGCCUUCGAAUUUGUCCAGUUCUGCAAAGACAACAGCCAGCUCUUCACAGACUCCUCCCGCAUAUUCAGGCAGAGCUUCCCAAAUCUCUUCAAGUUCCUGGCGUGGAACAGCCCACCUCUGAUCUCUGAGUUUGUGGAUCUUCUCCCAUUUCUGCUGGAUCCAGGCACAGCCAUUGAAAUCUUCCAUUUGCUGCUUGACCUGCCCUGUUUGACAGCAGCUCUGGACAUCCAGCUGAGGGCAGCUGCUCUUCCUGCCUCUGACAAGGCUGGUGGUGACCCAGCUGGGAAACCUGCCACGUGUCUGGAGGCCUUUCGCCAUCCCCUCUACAAGAGCAUGUUCCAGCAUCUCCUCCGCACCACGUCUGCUCCUCAGGAUGCCCCGGAGAGUCUGGUUCCACUUCGGCUGCUGCUGGGAUCCCUGGCUGGCAGCCCAAGGGUGGUGCAGUGCGCAGAGACUGUCCCUGUCUUACUGGAGCUCUUUUUCAGGGUGGUGGCAGAGUUUGCAGAUGAGUCUCUGCUAAACCAGCUGGUGGUGCUGCUGCUGCAGAGGAGUGACCAGCUCUACGAGAUCCCAGCGUUUAAAGAGGAUGUGUACAGGGUGCUGGGCUCACAGCUGGCAGUGCUCUGCGGGCUGCGCCCCGCGCUCGUGGUGGAACUGUCCACGGAGAUCCUGGAGUUCUCGGGAGCAGUCAGCAACAUCCAGGGCAAGGAGGCCAUCUUCACCCACAUGGUGUGGGCUAUCGGCGAGUACCUGUCGGUGUCCUACGACAGGCGCUGCACGGUGGAGCAGAUCACGCGGUUCUUCGAGACCCUCGAGGCUGUGCUCUUUGAGAUCACCCAGCUCCGGCCGCAGGCCAGCACCCCCAGCUGUGCCCCCCGUGCCAUCAGUGCCCUCAUGGCCACCUUGACCAAGCUGGCAGCCCGCAGCCAGGACUUGAUCCCCCGAGUGUCCAUGUUCCUGUCCAAGAUGAGGACAUUUGUGCAGAGCCCUGUUGUCACCUCUGUUUACUGCGAGGAAGACCUUGAGGAGAUCCUUAUUCGGGCAACCGAGCUCAUGAACCUGCUGAAAAUGCCCAGCGUGGCUCAGUUUGUGUUCACCCCGCCCGUGGCCAGCACACGCUUUCAGAGGGAGGUGAAUGAGUCCCUCCCCUCGGCCCUGAGGAUGGUCACCCAGCUCCUGGAGCCUGCUGCAGGCUCCGUGCCAGUGUGAGGGCUGGAGGUUUCUGGAGUUAUUCACUGGACACUGCUGACACUCAAGGCUGAGGCCCUGAUCUUAACUGGAAAAGAGGAACGAAUGAUUGUGAAUGAAACAGAGAACAGGAAUAAGGAGAGCUGAGGCUGCUCUUCUGGUCUGAGGCUGUUUGUAUUUCUGUGUCCUAGUGCCUGUUGCUUUUUUAUCUCCUAAGCUCAUCUUAUCCCUUCCUGAUCAGGCAAAGGCCUGUGUGAGCUGGAGGAAGCAGGACUGACUCCAUCACAUCUGGGAGCCCUCACCGCUCCUCUGUCUCACCCCUGGAGCGAACACGGAGACAUCUGCCAGAGCAGGGCUUAGGGAGAUUUAUUGAUCCA